rnacentral:rRNA from 1 species
GAUGAACGCUAGCUACAGGCUUAACACAUGCAAGUCGAGGGGUAGCAGGGUAGCAAUACCGCUGACGACCGGCGCACGGGUGAGUAACACGUAUCCAACCUUCCCAUAACUCAGGAAUAGCCUUUCGAAAGAAAGAUUAAUACCUGAUAGCACUUAAGAAAGGCAUCUUUUUUAAGUUAAAGAUUUAUCGGUUAUGGAUGGGGAUGCGUUCCAUUAGAUAGUUGGUGAGGUAACGGCUCACCAAGUCUUCGAUGGAUAGGGGUUCUGAGAGGAAGGUCCCCCACAUUGGUACUGAGACACGGACCAAACUCCUACGGGAGGCAGCAGUGAGGAAUAUUGGUCAAUGGGCUAGAGCCUGAACCAGCCAAGUAGCGUGAAGGAUGAAGGUCCUAUGGAUUGUAAACUUCUUUUAUAGUAGAAUAAAGUGAGCCACGUGUGGUUUUUUGUAUGUAUACUAUGAAUAAGGAUCGGCUAACUCCGUGCCAGCAGCCGCAGUAAUAC